CUCAUGAUCACACAUCUAUUGGGCACACAGUUUGAUUCUCAAAAUACAUGUUUCCAUGGAACCUAACAACAGACAGGAAGCCUGGGGGAUAGUCUGUUGCUAUCUAUCACUGUUGCUAAGGGCAGGAUGAGUGGGUAGAAUCAACAUGACCGAGAUAUAGGUUAAGGAAUUCAGAGCAAAGAUUUGCCAGAAGUUUUUAUGCCUAGAAAAGAGGGUCCUAUCUAAAAAUAUAUUGAGUAUUUACUAUCUAAAAGAAAUUGAGUAAACAAAGAGAAAGAGAGAGAUGAUAUAGUCCUUUUCCUCAAGAAUCUUAUAUUCUAUUGGGGGAAGCAGGCAGGAAAUUAUAUAGCAUAAACACAGAUCCAGUCCUUGGUUGUAGCACAAGAGUGCCAUCUUCAGCUCUCAAACACUCGGAAUUCUUGAGACUGUUGCCAUCUGUGAAUCAGGAAAGACGGCUAUUAAAUAUAUUUCAUUGCCAUGAAAUUUAACUCUUUAUCUUUUCAUUUCAAGUCAGAACAUUAAUCGACUGGCCAUAAGUAGAAUAAAAAUAAAGCUCCUUGUGAUGUGACA
rnacentral:lncRNA from 1 species